UACGGAGGGUGCGAGCGUUAAUCGGAAUUACUGGGCGUAAAGCGCACGUAGGUGGUUGGGUAAGUCGGAUGUGAAAGCCCUGGGCUUAACCUGGGAACUGCAUUCGAUACUGCCCGGCUAGAGUAUGGGAGAGGGAAGCGGAAGUUCCGGUGUAGCGGUGAAAUGCGUAGAUAUCGGAAGGAACAUCAAUGGCGAAGGCAGCUUCCUGGCCCAAUACUGACGCUCAGGUGCGAAAGCGUGGGGAUCAAACAGG
rnacentral:rRNA from 1 species